UCCUAUGAACACAGCCUUAGUACUUCUUGCUUCUAGCUUGUUGAUCAUCUCUCCUGGUUUGAGCACAAAGCAUAGGCAUCCAAAGACUCGCAAGUAAUCAAGUGCUGGUUUGUACCUGUUCAGAACUUCAAAUGGAGCCUUCUCAUUCAGAACCUUGGUUGGAGUUCUGUUGAUCAAGUAACAAGCAGUGGCAACCGCAUCACUCCAAAAUCUCUUUGGAACAUUACUCUGAAACAUAAGAGACCUUGCCACUUCCAUGAGGUGCCUAUUCUUCCUCUCAGCCACUCCAUUCUGCUGUGGAGUAUACGGACAGCUUGUUUGAUGUAGGAUCCCAUGCUGUGAUAAGUGUUGCUUGAAUGCAUGACUUGUGUAUUCUCCUCCAUUAUCUGAUCUCAAAAUUUUAAUCUUAGCAUGAUAAUGGUUAGUUACAUAAGUUUGAAAGUUCCUAAAUGCAUCAAGUACCCUAUCUUUGGUCUGAAUUAAGGUUAACCAGGUGUAUUUGGAUUUUUCAUCAAUGAAUGUGACAAAGUACUUAUAACUAUCUCUAGAUAAGCAAGGAGCAGUCCACACAUCCGAAUGAAUUAGAUCAAAGCAAUUAUCAUAAACGGUAGUAGACUUUUGAAACACAGUUCUACAAUGCUUGCCUAAAAUACAAGCUUCACAAUCUUUGUUCUCAAACACAACACCUGGUACCAUUAAGUUCAAAGCUUUAACAUGAGGGUGUCCUACUCUAGCAUGCCACAAUGCAUUUUUAUUCAACAAAGAAGCAGAAGUAAACGAGCAACUAUAAUCAGGAACAGAAGUGAGUUCUUCAAGCAUAUAGAGAUCUCCCUUAGUCACCCCUUUCCCAAUCAAUCUGCUGCUCUCAAUAUCCUGAAACUUCACAUCAUUAGGACUAAAGAUAACAUUGCAUUGUAAAUCAUUAGUACAUUUCUUCACAGAUAAUAGGUUUGAUGUGAAUUCAGGCAUGUAAAAGGCUCUAGAUUCUUUAUUAAACAACUUAAGCUUUCCUAUUCCUCUAAUAGGUAUCUUAUCCCCAUUUGCUAUCAUCACAUGCCCAUGUGUAGGUUCUAUAUCCUUAAUCAAGUUUUCAUCACUUAUCAUAUGAUGUGAUGCACCAGAAUCAACAAUCAAUGGUUUACCUACUCGUUUAGCAUUAUGACACAGAUUACUAAGCAAUGGAUGCAUCCUAUCAGUUCUAGCAAUGUGAGCAUUUCUAUAAUCAUUUCUAGCUUCUAACCGUUCUACUAGUUCUCUAAUCAAUUGAUCAUCCUUAUAUGCAAUCAUAGAAGCUCCAAAGGAAUAACCAUAAGUGUUACCGUUUUCCUUUAGCAUUUUGAAGAGAGCAUCAAGGUCUGAUCUCUUGAUGUAGUCAUCAUUGCUGCGUGAGCUUGAGGCGCCUGUGUAAGCCACCAGAGACUUCCCAUUCCCAUCAUUGCCUCCAAGCCCAUCCGCUUCACUCGCCUUGCUGGUGCCAGCUCCACUUGAACCUUCAGUCACAUUUGCCCUUCCCUCACGCUCCUUCAUGAACUUGGCCGGCUUGAGGUGUGGGUGUAGUAUCCAGCAUUGGCUCUUCUUAUGACCAUGUUUCUUGCAAUGAUCACAGUUGCCAUUGAACUUCCUGUCCUCGUACUUCCCGUGAGAUGCCUUGUUUGCUUGUGGAGCCUCGGUUGAGUCCUCAUGAGCUGCUUGAUUGGCAAGAGAGAGCUCCCCCUUUCCUCCAAACAACCCCAUAGAUCCCUGCUCCCUUUGGAUUUGCGCACACACCUCCUCAAGGUCCGGAAGCUUGUCUGACCUCAGCAUGUGCUGGAUGAGUUGAGUGUAGGCCGGGUUCAGCGUGAGAAGCAACCCAAAGACCUUGUCUUGCUCGCGCCUCUCAUUCAACUGAUCUGGAUCAGUUGUGCUCGGCCUCAGCAUCUCCAGCUCUGACCAUAAGGACCUGAACCUCCCCAAGUGCUUAGUGAACUCCAUGUCCUCUUGUGCAAGACGGUUGAUCGCUAGCUUCACUUCAAACACACGGCUGAGGUUGGAAGUGUUCCCAUACACCUUCUUCAGCGUGUCCCACAGCUCCUUGGCUGAUUCACAGUAGCUGUAGGCAUCCAAGAUAGCUGGGUCCAAGGAUGCGUGUAGAACCGUCAUCACCAGCAUGUCUUCUUGUUGCCAUUUCUCCACAGCCGCUUCAUUGGAGACCUCUUCUUGAUCUCCUCCCUGAGUAAUGAGUUUCGGAGCCUCCCCUGUUGUGAUGUGCCCCCACAAACCCUUACUUCCCACAGCAGUCUUCACCAUCCGAGACCACACAAGGUAGUUGCUACCUUUGAACGUAACCGCUACCUUCAUCCUCAUGUUCAUCCCAUGUUCCAUCUUUGCUUGACUUGAAAACUUGAAUCUUGAAUCUCGUACACACCAACCUUGAGUCUAGAAUCACGCAACCACACAGAACGUAGCACAGCUUCAACUAGAACGUAACACAGCUUCAACACCUUCAAGACUACUCGCGUGUAGCUUCAAAGCCGUUAGCUUGUAACUCUCUAAAGAUCAAACCCCAGAUUCAAACGAACCUGGCUCUGAUACCAUCUGAGAUUAAGAGAUCCUUAGAGUAAUCAGAAUAAAGAGAGUGUUUAAGAAGUGAUUAAGAGAAGUUUGUGAAAGAUUAAGAGAUUAGAUAGAGCCGUUUAGAGUCUAAGAGAGAACCAUAGUGUCUAAGAGAUUAGAGAGACUCAAACUGCAUAAUCUUAUUAAUGAGUGAGGUUACAUAUUUAUAUAGAAAGCAUUAGGGUUUACAAGAGGCGAAAUGGGCACUAUUGGAGCAUGUAGAGUCAAGGAUGCUUUCCGGAUGAUUGGAUGAUAAGGCUCACACGCUUUGCCUCUUUACAGCCUGUUCCAGCCUGGCACGCUCUUCCCUUAUCCUCUCAACGGUCUGAUCCCGCUCUUCCCUUAUCCAUUCAACGGUCUGAUCCCUUCUCUUUAAGUCCCCAAGUUACCAUUUCCUUGUUACCGUUUCACUUGGUCGAGUUGGGUAAGUUUUGGUCGAGACCCUUUGGUACGGACGGUACGGCCAUGUACGGCCUUGUACGGACGUCCGUACCAUUCACACCCAAACUCCCUAAGCUUCUCCAUCUCUUCUCCUCUUCAACUCCUCUUCUCUCUAUACUCAUAUAAUCAACUCAACUCAACACUCCCCCUCAAGCUUAGCUUUGUGAAAGCCUAAGCUUGGAAAGCUACAAGAUCUUCCUCAUUAAAAACCUCACCAACGAAAACCCAAUGGGAUAAAACUUUGAUGAGGGAAAAAGAGUAAAGACCUUGCAGCUAAGGGGAUUAGCUCCUUCUCUUCCCAAGAUCUAUGAGUCCCAAUCUGAUGUGAAUGGACUCCAUAGUCUUUUGCCUUGCAGCCUUGGUGAACACAUCCGCUAGCUGAUCUUCACUCCUUGUAUAGCAUGGCAAGAUCACCCCUAGCACAAUCAUCUGUCUCACCUUGUGGCAAUCAACUUCAAUGUGCUUGGUCCUCUCAUGAAACACCGAGUUGGAUGCAAUGUGGAUGGCAGCUUGAUUGUCACAAUGCAUUGUCAUUGGAGUUGCUUGAUCAAUCUCCAAGUGCUUCAAGAUGCCUUUGAUCCAUACCAACUCGGUGGUAAGCUUCAGCAUGGCUCUAUACUCGGCUUCUGCACUUGAACAUGACACUACCUUCUGCUUCUUGCUCUUCCAAGUCACCAAGUUGCCUCCAAUGAAUGUGCAAUAGCCUGUGGUUGAUCUCCUGUCUGCUCUAUCACCAGCCCAAUCCGCAUCACAGUAUCCCACCACUUCAGUGCUUCCAUUGCAGCCCAUCCAUACUCCUUGAUCAGGUGAGCCGUUGAGAUACAUCAAGAUCCUCUCCACCAUGCGCCAGUGAUGUUCCUUAGGCACUUGCAUGUGUUGACUCACCUGAUUCACAGCAAAACAGAUGUCAGGUCUAGUUAUAGUAAGAUAAAUCAAUUUGCCAACUAGUUUUCUAUAGAGUUUAGGAUCCUGAUAAGGUUUGCUGUCUUCAAUCUCCCCCUCUCGUGGGACUUUGUAGCCAUCCUCCAUAGGCAUCCUUGCUGUCUUGCCUCCAUAAGCACCUGCACCUUUCAAAAGAUCAAGUGUAUAUUUCCUUUGGGACAUGAAUAAACCUUCCUUGGAUCUACAUAUCUCAAUUCCAAGGAAGUAUUUCAUUUCUCCCAAGUCUUUAAUCUCAAACAUGGUUUUAAGAAACUCCUUGGUUGCUAUGAUACCUUCCUUAUCACUCCCUGUGAUAAUGAUAUCAUCAACAUACACAAGGAGUGCAAUCAUACCUGAGGGAGUCGUGAGAGUGAAGAGAGUGUGAUCUAGUUCAGACUUCUUGAAGCCUCGACCAUUCAGAGUAGUGCUCAACUUGUUGUACCAAGCUCUUGGUGAUUGCUUCAGCCCAUAGAUGGCUUUCUUCAGUCUCAACACAUUCCCACUCUUCACUAAGUGUUCAAGGCCUGGAGGUGGAUGCAUAUACACUUCAUCCUCAAGUUCACCUUGUAGAAACGCAUUCUUCACAUCCAUUUGCCAUAACCCCCAUCCAAGAUUCACAGCCAAGCUUAGUACAAUCCGGAUUGUGUGUAGUUUAGCUACUGGAGCAAAGGUUUCUAUGUAAUCUUCUCCAUAAGUUUGAGUGAAACCUCUUGCAACUAGCCUUGACUUCUUCCUCUCAAUCUUUCCAUCCGCUUUGUACUUGAUUGUGAAUAUCCACCUACUGGUCACAGCCUUCUUCCCUUUUGGUAACUCACUCUCGUACCAUGUAUCAUUCUUGAUCAUAGCUCCUGCCUCAGCUCCAACUGAUUCCUUCCAUUCUUUAUCCAUGAUUGCUUCUUCAUAGCUUCUUGGGAUGUAGUUCUCAUCCAAGUUAACCAUGAAGGCACAAUGUUCUUCUGGAUAUUGAGCAAAGGAGCACACGGCUUGAGAAGGAUGCUCCACAGCUUGGGCAUUGUAGUACACUCUCGUGUUUACCCAGCUAGAAAGUACACUCUCGUGUUUACCCAGCUUGGGCAUUGUAGUACACUCUCGUGUUUACCCAGCUAGAAGGAUCCUUCCUUAUCCUUGUACUCCUUCUUAGUGGCUGCACAACGGGUUCUUCUUCCUGUUGUUCUUCUACCACUUCAUCUUGAGAAGGUGUUUGCCUCACACCAUGAUCAUGACCAUGACCAUCAGAGCCUAUGCUCUCUUCUCCUUCAUUCUCUACUCCUCCUUCAUCCUGGUUAGCCUCUUGCAUAGGUUCCUCAUGCUCCUCUCCUCCCUCAUGAUCAAGGUGGGAUGGUGAACCAACUUCAGGAGGUGUAGUUGUGUGAUUCCUUGGAUCCUGGGAUGUACUGAUUCCAAGACCUUCAAGGAUGAUCCGCAAGGUGGUGGCCUUGUCUGAUGUUAAGUCCUUCAGGUCUUCUUGGUUCUUUUCUUCAUAGUAUCCUCUAUCUUCUAAGAACUUCACAUCUCUAGAUACAAGUACUCUCCUUGCUAUAGGAUCAUAGCAUUUGUAUCCUUUCUGUGUAGCUGAGUAUCCUAUGAACACAGCCUUAGUACUUCUUGCUUCUAGCUUGUUGAUCAUCUCUCCUGGUUUGAGCACAAAGCAUAGGCAUCCAAAGACUCGCAAGUAAUCAAGUGCUGGUUUGUACCUGUUCAGAACUUCAAAUGGAGCCUUCUCAUUCAGAACCUUGGUUGGAGUUCUGUUGAUCAAGUAACAAGCAGUGGCAACCGCAUCACUCCAAAAUCUCUUUGGAACAUUACUCUGAAACAUAAGAGACCUUGCCACUUCCAUGAGGUGCCUAUUCUUCCUCUCAGCCACUCCAUUCUGCUGUGGAGUAUACGGACAGCUUGUUUGAUGUAGGAUCCCAUGCUGUGAUAAGUGUUGCUUGAAUGCAUGACUUGUGUAUUCUCCUCC
rnacentral:lncRNA from 1 species